rnacentral:rRNA from 1 species
AGCGAACGUUAGCGGCGGGCCUAACACAUGCAAGUCGAACGAGAAUGAGGGGGCAACUCCUCUAGUAAAGUGGCGGACGGGUGCGUAACACGUAGGUAAUUUACCUUCCGGCGGGGGACAACAGUCCGAAAGGACUGCUAAUACCGCAUACGUCGGCGAGGUCUCCGGACCUUGUCGGGAAAGAUGGCCUCUCCUUGGAAGCUGUCACCGGAAGAUGAACCUGCGGCCCAUCAGCUAGUUGGUGAGGAACGGCUCACCAAGGCGAAGACGGGUAGCUGGUCUGAGAGGAUGAUCAGCCACACUGGGACUGCGACACGGCCCAGACUCCUACGGGAGGCAGCAGUGGGGAAUAUUGGGCAAUGGGCGCAAGCCUGACCCA